GAUGAACGCUGGCGGCGUGCCUAAUACAUGCAAGUCGAGCGAACAGACGAGGAGCUUGCUCCUCUGACGUUAGCGGCGGACGGGUGAGUAACACGUGGAUAACCUACCUAUAAGACUGGGAUAACUUCGGGAAACCGGAGCUAAUACCGGAUAAUAUAUUGAACCGCAUGGUUCAAUAGUGAAAGACGGUUUUGCUGUCACUUAUAGAUGGAUCCGCGCCGCAUUAGCUAGUUGGUAAGGUAACGGCUUACCAAGGCGACGAUGCGUAGCCGACCUGGGAGGGGGGACCGGCCCAACGGAACUGAGACACGGUCCCAACUCCCACGGGGGGCAACAGGAGGGAAAUCUCCCCAAAGGGCGAAAACCCGGAGGAGGAAACGCCGCGGAAUGAUGAAAGGUUUCCGGAUCUAAAACCUCGUUUAUAGGGAAAAAAAAAAGUGUUAAUAAACAAGCACCUCUUGAACGUAACCAAAUCAAAAACCCCCGCUAAACACCUG
rnacentral:rRNA from 1 species